UACGUAGGGGGCUAGCGUUGUCCGGAAUCAUUGGGCGUAAAGAGCGCGUAGGCGGCCAGAUAAGUCCGGUGUGAAAGUCAAAGGCUCAACCUUUGAAUGCCGCUGGAAACUGUCUGGCUAGAGUCCGGGAGGGGCGAGUGGAAUUCCUGGUGUAGCGGUGAAAUGCGCAGAUAUCAGGAAGAACACCCGUGGCUAAGGCGGCUCUCUAGUACGGUACUGACGCUGAGACGCGAAAGCGUGGGGAGCGAACAGG
rnacentral:rRNA from 1 species